rnacentral:rRNA from 1 species
UACGUAGGGUGCAAGCGUUGUCCGGAAUUAUUGGGCGUAAAGAGCUCGUAGGCGGCUUGUCGCGUCGGCUGUGAAAACCCGCGGCUCAACUGUGGGCGGGCAGCUGAUACGGGCAUCACUGGAGUUCGGCAGGGGAGACUGGAAUUCCUGGUGUAGCGGUGAAAUGCGCAGAUAUCAGGAGGAACACCGGUGGCGAAGGCGGGUCUCUGGGCCGAUACUGACGCUGAGGAGCGAAAGCGUGGGGAGCGAACAGG